rnacentral:rRNA from 1 species
CUACGGGAGGCAGCAGUGGGGAAUCUUGCACAAUGGAGGAAACUCUGAUGCAGCGAUGCCGCGUGAGUGAAGAAGGCCCUUGGGUUGUAAAGCUCUUUCGUCGGGGAAGAAAAUGACUGUACCCGAAUAAGAAGGUCCGGCUAACUUCGUGCCAGCAGCCGCGGUAAUACGAAGGGACCUAGCGUAGUUCGGAAUUACUGGGCUUAAAGAGUUCGUAGGUGGUUGAAAAAGUUAGUGGUGAAAUCCCAGAGCUUAACUCUGGAACUGCCAUUAAAACUUUUCAGCUAGAGUAUGAUAGAGGAAAGCAGAAUUUCUAGUGUAGAGGUGAAAUUCGUAGAUAUUAGAAAGAAUACCAAUUGCGAAGGCAGCUUUCUGGAUCAUUACUGACACUGAGGAACGAAAGCAUGGGUAGCGAAGAGGAUUAGAUACCCUCGUAGUCCAUGCCGUAAACGAUGUGUGUUAGACGUUGGAAAUUUAUUUUCAGUGUCGCAGGGAAACCGAUAAACACACCGCCUGGGGAGUACGACCGCAAGGUUAAAACUCAAAGGAAUUGACGGA